rnacentral:misc_RNA from 1 species
UGUUAUCUGGUUAAUCUUUGUUUCACACUAGUAAAUCAAACAUCUUUUACAAUAUGCUGAAAGGAAAAACCUAACAAUCGCAAAAUUAUAACAAAAACGACAUACUUGACAAGAGCCAACGAUUUGCUGGAUAUCACAGAAGUGACAAUUAAAAAAAAAAGAAAAGUUGUUAAAAGAAAAAACAAUGUUCAUUCUUUUGUGUAUCAUUGUGUCACCAGAGAUGCAUGAUACAGUAAUUCUGUUUACACGCCACAACACAUGAUUUUACAUUUGAUUAAAUUCCAAGAAAGGAAAACCUAUACCAUAAAAACAUCAAAAGCUCAAACCUUACACAGAACUCCUACCGGCUGCACUCUUCGAUAAAUUCAUCAAAACAGGCAAAAUGAUCAGCUCUAAUCAAGUUCUCUUAUAAACUGAAACAUCAGGGCAAGGAAAGUGUACGUAAUUCACUUAAUCUGAUAUGCUUCACCUACAAUAACCUCUUCACAUUCACAUCAUAAUAAUCCUAAGCGGCAAUUCCUCUAUUUGCUUGUCUAUUGGCAACACUAUAACCAUCAGUAUAACCAGCAGCAAUUUUAGUCACACCAUCUGUAGCUGCAUUUCCAAGCCCGAAACCAAAUGAGCCAGAACCCUCUAGCCCCAAAGGUGAAGAUCGCCAUGCAGAAUCCCCAUACAACAAGCCAUUAUCAUAAAUAUCUGCACAAGGUACAUCAUGAUCAUCAUGUGAUGCAGCAUGAGAUGAAACUAGCGCAGCACUUGUCCCACUGUUUCUUCCAUAUCCUACCCCUCCAAGACCAACACUGAAAUCUCCACUAUUGUAGCUAAGAUUGCCACUGCUAUAGGCAGAGCCAGCACUGCCACCUUGUCCCGAAUUAGCUGAGGAAUCCCAGAGUCCUCCAACACUGCCAAAAGAACCGAUUCUUGAAUUCCCAGUUCCAGUGCCCAUAAAAGUACUAGACUUUGUGGAGUUUGAAGCAUGAUUAAUACUUCCAUUGCUCCACAAAGUUCGAGCUGUUGAAUUUAAGGCAGAACUAUUUCCACCAUUGACUCCGUUGUAUCCAAUAGGGCUAUCAAACCUUCCUGAAAUUCCACUAUAUGAAGGACUCAAUCUCCCAUAGCCAAGGUUAGAACUUAGGUUGGAAUUUCCCCCAUAACUAGGAGUCAACCUCUGGUCAAAAUGCAGCCCCAUCCCAAAACCAGGACCAAACGGAGAAAAGUUACUACGACCAACAGUAACAGGACUAAACCUACCAUCCAUUCUAACACCAAGUCCUCCAGUUGAGUUUGUCAUGUAUCCCUGAGUCUGAGUGUAACCAUUCAGGAAGCUACCAAUUCUACUUGGACCAUAACUAAAUCCACUUAACUGGCUCCGAGUUGGACCUGGUGAUAAUUCUUUGGGAACAGCCCGCUUGACCUCAACCAUUUUACCAUUAAGUUCAUGAAAUGUUUUAUGCAGAACUCUGUCCACAGCAUCCUCAGAAUCAUAAGUGAUGAAGCCAAAGCCUCUUGGCCUCUGUGUGUUGUGAUCAUACAUCACAACAACAUCGGUGAUAUUGCCAAACUGCUCAAAGUACUUCUUGAAGUCACUGUCUGUAACUGUAGAAGCCAGACCUCCAACAAAAAUCUUUUUGGUGCGUCCAGGACCUAGAGAAGCAUUAAUACUACUAGUGUUUCUAUUCAAAAUGUGCUGAUCAUCCCUUGGAACAGCCUUCUUUGCUUCAACUGUGCGUCCAUCAAUCAUGUGCUUAUCCAUAAUGACCCUCUCCGCAACAGCAGGAUCUGCGAAGACCACAAAACCAAAGCCACGGGCACGGCCCGUAGUUCUAUCUCUCAUGAUCACCGCCUCCACCACUUCCCCAUACUUGCUAAAAUAUUCCUUCAGACGUUCCUCAUCAGUGUCCCAUGAAAUCCCACCAAUGAAGAGCUUACCAAGAUCUGAUUCCAUCUUUUCCUUAUAUGAUAAUAAAGAUAGAAUCUGAUUGGUGCCCAAUCAAAAAGUUGAAGUGGGUAUUUGUUAAAUCCAAUCUGGGAUCAUUUGAUGAUCCUAUAACCAAUCAGAACUCAACCCAGAAUCCUGAUUGUCCAAACAAUGAGAAUUAAUAAUAGAAUUGAUCCAGAUCAAGAUCAAUAAAAUGUUUGGCAGAGAUCGGAAAAUAAAAGACAAAGAAUUUUACCAUUUUAGAGAGGACCAGAUGAGAAACUAAGAUCUAACAAUAAGGAUUGUGGAAAUGGAAACAGAGGAGGAGGUGCUCAUGCUUUCUCUCUCU